rnacentral:lncRNA from 10 species
GUCUGAUUGAAUUUCCCAAAUCAAGCUACUUAGAUUCUGCCAUGUUUGUGACCUGGUUUCCAUUUAUAAUAUUUCUUUGCUGUUCCAGGGUCUCUGCCUUGAUAGUCUGCAGUGCAUCCCAUGAACUCAGUAUGGAGAAGUUGCCUUGUCCCCAUCAAUCCAAUGGAGUCCAUUCAUGUCUCCAAACCUUGGCUUAAUGAUUGUAUCCCUGCUGUCUGUUAUAGGAACAUUUUUCCCUGACCACCCUAUCUGUCACCUCUUGUUAGACCUCCCUUUCACUAACCACAGCCUGAACUCUUACCUGCUGCCAUACUCUCAGAAAAUCAUACCAAGCCUAUUAGCUCAAUUUCCUCUAGCUUCCAUUACCAAAACCAGGGUUUUCAAAUACAUGGUCUCUUCUGGGAAAUAAAUCCCUUUGCCAACCUGGAAAUGCCCAAGAUGCCCUAGUUUCAAAAUACAAACUCGAAAUGUUUCAAAAUAUGCUUCAAAUUGUUUUUCUUUUUUUUUUUUUUUUGAGA